rnacentral:rRNA from 1 species
CUAGCUGUAAACGAUGGAUACUAGGCGUUGAGAGUAUCGACCCUCUCAGUGUCGUAGCUAACGCGUUAAGUAUCCCGCCUGGGGAGUGCGCGCAAGCGUGAAACUCAAAGGAAUUGACGGGGGCCCGCACAAGCGGUGGAGUAUGUGGUUUAAUUCGAUGCAACGCGAAGAACCUUACCAGGGCUUGACAUGUCCGGAACCCUGCCCAAAGGCGGGGGUGCCUACGGGAACCGGAACACAGGUGGUGC